rnacentral:rRNA from 1 species
UCAAGCGAAUAUAGGUCUAUGGCGGAUGCCUAUGGAGAUGCAAGGCGAAGAAGGUCGUGAUAAGCUGCGAAAAGCCGCGGGUAGGAGCACAUAUCCGAUAAUCCGCGGAUGACCGAAUGGGGUAACCCGCCGACUGUGAGGUCGGCACCCGUGACCGGAACACAUAUGGCACGGGAGCGAAACCGGGUAAAGUGAACCAUCUAAGUAACCCGGGAAAAGAAAUCAAUAGAGAUUCCCUAAGUAGCGGCGAGCGAACGGGGAGGAGCCCAAACCGUUAUAAAGCGGGGUUGUAGGACCGCCGAACGGGAAGAGGGGAUUAGGGGAAGCGUCUGGGAAGGCGCACCGAAGAGCGUGAUAGUCGCGUACCCGGCAUGACCCUCAACCAGGCGGAAUCCUGAGUACGGCGGGGCACGAGAAACCCAGCCGGAAUCCGGGUCGACCACGAUCCAAGGCUGAAUACUAUGCAUCUACCGAUAGUGAACAAGUACCGUGAGGGAAAGGCGAAAAGAACCCCGGUAAGGGGAGUGAAAUAGAACCUGAAACCAUAGACUGACAAGAUGUCACAGCCUGUAAAGGUAGUGGCGUGUCUUUUGUAGAAUAAACCUGCGAGUUGCGGUGCGCGGCGAGGCUAAGGGAUGGAAGUUCCGGAGCCAUAGGGAAACCGAGCCUGAUAAGGGCGCUAAGUCGCGCGCAGCAGACCCGAAGCCAAGGUGAUCUUAUCAUGGGCAGGCUGAAGGCAGGGUAACACCUGCUGGAGGGCCGAACGGUAAUCUGUUAAAAAAGGUAGCGAUGACCUGUGAUAAGGAGUGAAAGGCUAAACAAACCUGGAGAUAGCUGGCUCUCCCCGAAAUGCCUUUAGGGACAGCCUUGCGCAAAACCCACGGAGGUAAAGCACUGGCUGGUGGCGGGGGCGUCAAAGUCUACCAACACCUGCCAAACUCUGAAUGCCGUGGGUCAACGCGCAGGAGUGAGACCAUGUGCGCCAAGGUUCAUGGUCGAGAGGGAAACAGCCCGGACCGCCGGCUAAGGUCCCAAAGUCAUGCUGAGUGUGAAAUGAGGUUCGGAUGCACGGACAGCCAGGAGGUUGGCUCAGAAGCAGCCAUUCCUUGAAAGAGUGCGUAACAGCUCACUGGUCGAGCAUCCGGGCGCAGACAAUGUAACGGGGCUAAGCAUGGCACCGAAGCCGCGGGGGCAAAGCGAUUUCAGUUUUGCCCGGUAGGGGAGCAUUCCAUGGACCUGUGAAGGCGUACCUGUGAGGGGCGCUGGAGGGGAUGGAAGAGAGAAUGCAGGCAUGAGUAACGAAAAGACGGGUGAGAUUCCCGUCCGCCGCAAACCUAAGGUUUCCGGGGUAAAGGCAAUCUUCCCCGGGUAAGUCGGCCCCUAAGGCGAGGGGGAAACCCGUAGCCGAUGGGAACCCGGUUCAUAAUCCGGGACCUGUCAUGUUGCGAUGCCGUGACGCAUGAGGUGAAGUCCGGCCGGAGAACGGUAGUUCCGGUCGAAGCUGCAAGUCUGUGAGGAAGGGGUUAAAUGACCUUCUGAGAUGAGUAGUGACAGCGAGGCAAGGGAAGCUGAGCCGAAGCGGACGUAGCCACGGUGACAAGAAAUAGCGGCUAGCAUAGGCAUGACGGACCGUACCGUAAACGGACACACGUGGGUGGGAUGAGCAAUCUAAGGCGCUCGAGCGAACUCGCGUCAAGGAACUCGGCAAAAUGCGCACGUAACUUCGGGAGAAGUGCGGCUCCGGUUUGAAAGGACAUGGAGCGGCAGAAAGCAGGCCCAGGCGACUGUUUAUCAAAAACACAGCCAUCUGCGAACCAGCAAUGGGACGUAUAGGUGGUGACACCUGCCCGGUGCCGGAAGGUUAAGAGGAGCGGUGAGCAGUAAUGCGAAGCUGUUAAUUGAAGCCCCGGUAAACGGCGGCCGUAACUAUAACGGUCCUAAGGUAGCGAAAUUCCUUGUCGGGUAAGUUCCGACCCGCACGAAUGGUGUAACGAUUCUGGGCACUGUCUCGACGCGAGACUCGGUGAAAUUUAUAUUCCGGUAAAGAAGCCGGAUACUCAAAAUUAGACGGAGAGACCCCGUGAACCUUCACCGCAACCUAGCGCUGGGACCCUAUCCGUCAUGUGUAGGAUAGCUGGGAGCCUAAGAGGCGUGGCCGUCAGGCUGCGCGGAGGCGCCGGUGAAAUACCAGCCUUGACGGAUGGGGUUUCUAACCCGGACCCUGAAGCGGGCCCGGGGACAGGACUAGGCAGGCGGUUUGACUGGGGCGGUCGCCUCCCAAAGAGUAACGGAGGUGCGCGAAGGUCCCCUCGCGGUGAUUGGAAACCAUCGCGCGAGCGCAAAGGCACAAGGGGGCUUGACUGCGAGACAGACAUGUCGAGCAGGUGCGAAAGCAGGUCUUAGUGAUCUGGCGGUGCCGUGUGGAAGGGCCGUCACUUAACGGACAAAAGGUACUCCGGGGAUAACAGGCUGAUUUUCCCCAAGAGUUCACAUCGACGGGAAAGUUUGGCACCUCGAUGUCGGCUCAUCGCAUCCUGGGGCUGGAGCAGGUCCCAAGGGUUUGGCUGUUCGCCAAUUAAAGCGGUACGUGAGCUGGGUUCAGAACGUCGCGAGACAGUUCGGUCCCUAUCUGUUUUGAGCGUUGGAAGUUUGAGAGGAGCCGCCUUUAGUACGAGAGGACCGAGGCGGACGGACCUCUGGUUUACCGGUUGUCCCGCCAGGGGCAAGUGCCGGGUAUCUACGUCCGGAAGGGAUAACCGCUGAAAGCAUCUAAGCGGGAAGCCCACCUCAAGAUUAGACCUCCCCGGGGAUUUUCCCCCCGAAGGCUCCGGAGACACCAUCCGGUCGAUAGGCUGUAGGUAUAAGCGCGGCGACGCGCUCAGCCGAGCAGUACUAAUAAGCCGCGAGGCUUGACCAU